GAUGAACGCUGGCGGCGUGCCUAAUACAUGCAAGUCGAGCGAACGGACGAGAAGCUUGCUUCUCUGAUGUUAGCGGCGGACGGGUGAGUAACACGUGGAUAACCUACCUAUAAGACUUGGAUAACUUCGGGAAACCGGAGCUAAUACCAGAUAAUAUUUUGAACCGCAUGGUUCAAAAGUGAAAGACGGUCUUGCUGUCACUUAUAGAUGGAUCCGCGCUGCAUUAGCUAGUUGGUAAGGUAACGGCUUACCAAGGCAACGAUGCAUAGCCGACCUGAGAGGGUGAUCCGCCAAACUGGAACUGAGACAAGGUCCAGAAUCCUACGGGAGGCAGCAGUAGGGAAUAUUGCGCAAUGGGCGAAAGCCUGAACGAGCAAAGCCGCGUGGGUGAAGAAGGGCUUCGGGUUGUAAAACCCUUUUAUUAGGGAAGAAAAGAAGGGGAAGGAAACGGGGAAAUUCUGAAGGUAACUAAACAAAAAGCCACGGCUAACUUCGUG
rnacentral:rRNA from 1 species